rnacentral:rRNA from 1 species
GACGAACGCUGGCGGCGUGCUUAACACAUGCAAGUCGAGCGGUAAGGCCCUUCGGGGUACACGAGUGGCGAACGGGUGAGUAACACGUGGGUGAUCUGCCCUGCACUUCGGGAUAAGCCUGGGAAACUGGGUCUAAUACCGGAUAGGACCACUGCCUGCAUGGGUGGUGGUGGAAAGCUUUUGCGGUGUGGGAUGGGCCCGCGGCCUAUCAGCUUGUUGGUGGGGUGAUGGCCUACCAAGGCGCCGACGGGUAGCCGGCCUGAGAGGGUGACCGGCCAAACUGGGCCUGAGAUACGGCCCAGACUCCUGCGGGAGGCAGCAGUGGGGAAUAUUGCACAAUGGGCGCAAGCCUGAUGCAGCGACGCCGCGUGAGGGAUGACGGCCUUCGGGUUGUAAACCUCUUUCAGCACCGACGAAGCGCAAGUGACGGUAGGUGCAGAAGAAGGACCGGCCAACUACGUGCCAGCCGCCGCCGUAAUAC